rnacentral:rRNA from 1 species
GGGGAAUAUUGGGCAAUGGGGGAAACCCUGACCCAGCAACGCCGCGUGAAGGAAGAAGGUUUUCGGAUUGUAAACUUCUGUCCUUGGUGAAGAGAUGAAGACGGUAGCCAAGGAGGAAGCCCCGGCUAACUACGUGCCAGCAGCCGCGGUAAUACGUAGGGGGCAAGCGUUGUCCGGAAUGAUUGGGCGUAAAGGGCGCGUAGGCGGCUUUAUAAGUCUGGAGUGAAAGUCCUCUUUUCAAGGGAGGAAUUGCUUUGGAAACUAUAGAGCUUGAGUGCAGGAGAGGUUAUCGGAAUUCCCGGUGUAGCGGUGAAAUGCGUAGAUAUCGGGAGGAACAUCGGUGGCGAAGGCGGGUAACUGGACUGCAACUGACGCUGAGGCGCGAAAGUGUGGGGAGCAAACAG